rnacentral:rRNA from 1 species
UACGUAGGGGGCAAGCGUUGUCCGGAUUUAUUGGGUGCGGUAAAGAGCGUGGUAGGCGGCCAGGUAGGUCUGCUGAUGAAAACUCCGACGGCUCAACCUCGAGACGCCGAUGGAAACCAUGUGGCUAGAGUCCGGAAGAGGAGAGUGGAAUUCCGUGGUGUAGCGGUGAAAUGCGCAGAUAUCAGGAAGAACACCCGUGGCUAAGGCGGCUCUCUAGUACGGUACUGACGCUGAGACGCGAAAGCGUGGGAGCAA